rnacentral:rRNA from 1 species
GACGAACGCUGGCGGCGUGCCUAAUACAUGCAAGUAGAACGCAGUUGCGAACGGGUGAGUAACGCGUAGGUAACUGCCUCAUAGCGGGGGAUAACUAUUGGAAACGAUAGCUAAUACCGCAUACUGUGAGAUGGACCUGCGUUGUAUUAGCUAGUUGGUGAGGUAAAGGCUCACCAAGGCGACGAUACCUAGCCGACCUGCGAGGCUGAUCGGCCACACUGGGACUGAGACAAGGCCCAUACUCCUACGGGAGGCAGCAGUAGGGAAUCUUUGGCAAUGGAAGGAAGUCUGACCGAGCACAGCGGCGUGAGUGAAGAAGGUUUUCGGAUCGUAAAGCUCGGUUGUUAGAGAAGCAGUAACUAACCAGAAAGGGACGGCGAACUACGUGCCAGCCGCCGCGGUAAUUC